AACGAACGCUGGCGGCAUGCCUAACACAUGCAAGUCGAACGAUACCUUCCGGUCUAGUGGCGCACGGCUGCGUAACGCGUGGGAACCUGCCCUUAGGUUCGGAAUAACUUCCCGUAAGGGGUGCUAAUACCGGAUAAUGUCUUCCGACCAAGAAUUAUCGCCUUCGGAUGGUCCCGCGUUGGAUUAGCUAGUUGGUAGGUUAAAAGCCUACCAAGGCGACGGUCCAUAGCUGGUUUGAGAGGCUGAUCAGCGACACUGGGACUGAGACACAGCCCAGACUCCUACGGAAUGCAGGAGUGGGUGAUAUAGGAAAAUGGGCGAAGUCCUGAUCCAGCAAUGCCGCGUGAGUGAUGAAGGCCGUGGGGUUGUAAAGCUCUUUUACCCGAGAUGAUAAUGACGGUACCGGGAGAAUAAGCUCCGGCUAACUCCGUG
rnacentral:rRNA from 1 species